UAUGAGUAUACGGAAGUGCCCGGAAGCCAAUAAUUGAACUUCAAUUAUCAUGACGUUUGAGCGUCAUUUACUCAAGAGGGCGUUGCAAUACCUUUGUAGCGUUCCCUCGAACAUAUCUCCGGAAAGAAAGUAGCUAGGAGGUCAAUCUUGGUAUCAUUUUGAAGCUUAAAGGAUGCCCUAUCUGAUUCAACAAUAAAAACUGAUUCGAAAAUGCCCGCGUUAAGGUCUCUUUUCAUUGGCACUGUCACAUAUGUGACAGGCUCUGGGAAAACAGACCAAUUGGCGCAAGCUAUAAUUUUUGCAAUCUAUAUACCAGAUGAUAGAGCAAAGAAUUGCCUACGUAUUGAUGUGCUUAGUUUGCACAUAUCUCGUUCCAUGCCUGAGUUAUGCGCGUUGGAAACUCGAAGUUGUAAAACAGCAGUAUUGAGAAACGCCCACUCAAAGAUUGCUAAAUUGGGAAAAGUAAGGUAAUGGUGGCUGCUUAGACAAAGCGCUUUGGUGGAAAGAGUUGGAUUCAGAGCAUCAGAUUUUGCAGAGAGGUAGUAUAAAGACUGUAGAUAACUAUAAUCCAAGAAAAAAAAAUUAUGAGAUUAUACACUGUAGUCUAUAAAUCUGGCUAUUGCUCAAUACCAGGAUCUGCUCCAAUUGGUCUGUUUUCCCAGAGCCCGUCACAAUUAUGUUGACUUACUGUAUAAGUCAUGUGUUUCUUAGCAAAACUCUCGAGCAAGUAUCCAGUAUCGACACCAUCAAAAAAGUCAGAUGGCGGACAGUCUAGAUAUUCUUGAAAUAUCAUUUGGAGUUGUACUUGUGUGUGGCAAUAAGCUCACACAAUUUACGACAGUGCCCAUCAAUGGCAACUUGUGAGACUUUCUUCUCUUCACGUAGCAUCAACAGAAAUUUAGCUUGUUCCAACUGGCGGGCACCCUCAUCCAGAGUUAUAUCAACAGUCCCUAGUUCAACAACAUCUGUUGCUCUCAUUCACUGUUGCUCUCAUUCACGAUGUCUUCGCUCACCGAACUUAGAUCUAGAGCCGAAACCUCGCCACUCUCGAUCUUAUGUGUAUUAAAUGCCGGGAAUGAGCGAAAUGUCUUUGUACAGCCUCUAGCAGAACAUGUGAUAAAAAAGUUAGGAUCUUCUUGGUGAACAAGCCUUACAUACAUCUUCUUCAUGCUAGGGCAAAAGCUACCACAGAGUGCGCACUGUGUGACUUGAAUCUCAGUCUGUAGACUUGAACUAGACAUUUUUGUUAAUUACAGUAAGUACAGAUGACCAUACCUAUCUAGAUCUAGAUCCGACUAGAAAAACAUUUGCAAUGUGAAAAAUUGCUAGGAUUGGCCAGGGGAACCACAAAAAAGCGUGGAAACAAGAAAUCCGACGAGAGCAUAACUCCAAUCCGUUACAACGUCAAUCACAUGUACUGGUAUAGUUUCCCCAUGUUUUCCCAGCCAAUAUGCCACGCAAUUUUUACUGGUGGAAUGAUAACCAAUCCCUAUAAUUAUAUUUAUCCCAUUUUGGAAAGUGCGGGCACAUAAUCAUGAUGAUUUGUGAUGAAUUGAUGUUCCUAAUUAGUAAAACCAGUAGGUACACACAGUCCAUCCAUGCGUAGUAUAACAUAUACACAGACCGUACUGGUGACCUGCAUGGAAUGAUGUGGUGGAUGGAAGCUGGUAGAUGGAUCUGGAACACAGUCUAUUAUUAUACUAUGUAUUGUACAUGUUCAUGACGUUGUAACGGAUUGGAGUUAUGCUCUCGUCGGAUUUCUUGUUUCCACGCUUUUUUGUGGUUCCCCUGGCCAAUCCUAGCAAUUUUUCACAUUGCAAAUGUUUUUCUAGUCGGAUUCCCUUUCUUUUUCAGUACAGUUUACGUAUCAUUACAUGCAUAAGUGGAACAUCAAGAGGCAGUACAGAAGUUCAAGAAGAGAAGACAGGACUAUAAUCAGAUAUCUUCUAGAAUAUCAUAUUAUUGCUUGAUAUGUUGAUUUGUGAAUCAGUAUUAAAUGACAGCCAUUUUAAGAGCAUGAUAUCUAGCCAGUGCAUAUAGAGCAUGCCUGUCAGAGAAAGGGAGCUAGAGCUGAACAGUGUGAAGAAAAGCAACACCUCAGGCUCUGGAAAAGCACUGCUCAGUGAUUUUAGGCGCACGGUUUAUUAGCCACGCCUAUCAAUUGCCACAACGCAAUUGCUGAGUCAUUAAAAAUGGCGGAAUUGUCUAGGUAAGAGAAAUAGAGACUGAGAGGUCAUCUGCCUCGUGGAAGCAAUCGCAAAUCUGAAGAAGCGCUUUGUAAUCCAGGUUGUAGUCAUUUGGAAACCCUGUGCAGAAUGUCCUGGAGAUGGCUGUACUUGGAGCAAAUGCUGGGCAAGAAACUUACUUACUUACUUAAGUCAGUCAGACAAAGAGCGGUGAAACUUCGAAAUAGUGCAAUUUUUAAAAUGACAAUAUUCAUUCAUUAAAAUGUUCAUGGGUUAUGAAAUGAGAGAUACAAAGAGAGAAAAGGCUAUAUAAACUAUCUGUCCAGCCAGUUCCUUGAUGUGGCCUUUCCCUGCAGAGAUAGAACAGUUUGAACAUGAGUCAAAAUAAUGGAAAUAUUGAUAAACACGGGCAAACCCAACUGCCAAUCCUAUGUAAAACCUACUGGUUUUACUAAUGCUAAUCAUUUUUAACAUGUGACUACUUUUAGUCCACGUGUUAAUUUAGCUUGAUUGCUUUUAGUCCACGUGUUAAUUCAACUGCUCAACUAGCCUAGCUAUUAGCACCGCUCCUCGAGUUCCAGAUUCAUCCAACAAUGAACCAAUCUCUGGAAGAAUUCAGCAACUAGCUGAUUAUCUUGAAGAGAAAGGCAUUGGGGAAGAUGUGUUAGCAAAUAUGAAAGAAGAAGCAAUUGAUGGUGAAGCAUUUCUUGAACUGAAUGAAAGUGAAUUGAGGGUUGUCGGCAAAAAGAUAGGAGUUGUGAAAAGACUAAGAAAAGACUAAGAAAGAAGCGUUGUGUGAUGUAUUUUUGUAGCAUGUACCUAAAAAUGCACCCUUUCUAUAGGUUAUGUGCCCCGAGGAGAGGAGAGUCGAUCCUACCCUGUCGAUGAUUGGCCACCAUUGUCACAAAUGCCGAGAAAUUCCGAGAAAUUCCGGGAUUUCACCACCUAUCCAAACACCUGAAUCAUCAGAUGAUCACGAUACUGAGGUCAGCGGCGUCUGUUGCCUCCCUCCCAGUCUCAAUCCCUAGCAACCUGAACCGACAUGUGGAGACCAUCCAUUAUGCUAUGUAUCCAGCAAGGUAGUGACGGUGAAAUAACUCGUGACCUUGUGACCCAAAUGUUUUACGUUUCAAGCAACUCAACAGUGGUGGCUAAGAAGCUGGUUCGCAAAUAUCCCUUUAUGAAAGAUGUUGGCAAUAAAGUAUCUGGAUUUGGUUCAUGGGAGAAGAAAAUAAUCUAACGAGUUAACAAUCAGCUUGCUCAAGCUAGUAAGAAAAGGCCAAGAUCUGGAUCUGACGACGGCGAAGUGACACCUCGCAAAAGGGGUCGACCCAAAUCCUCAAUGCUGCUCGAAAGGUACCCCGCCCUGUCAUUUUCAGAGGACGAUGAUGUAGCUGUACAACGUAACUCAUCGAAAUUGAAGGAAGAAUGCCUAAAACCCAACCCGGACAUAAUUCCCCUACAACGGUCAACUUUCUCUAUUCGCAGAGAAUUUAUAUUGUCGGGGCUAGAUCCGUCUAAUGAUAUACUGUCUAAUGAUAUACUCGAGGAACACCCUGUUCUCUGUCUCCCUUUUGCUGUAGAGCUUGAAAUGGAUUUGAUUCUGUCUCAGAAAGAUAAGCUUGUCCCAGGAAUUCAAAAGUACUCAGAGUCGUUCACCGGAAAGGCCGGAGAAUCCUUGAAGAAAAUACGUGAGAACGAAGAAGAUUUGGAUGAAUGUGUACUGGUAAACCUUUUUGGGAAAAGGGAACCCAAGACUAAGCAGGAGCCGCUCAAGUUUGCGUAUAACAAAUGCAAGGUCACAGAUGACCCAGAUGAUUAUGUAAAAUCUACUAAGAUAUCUACCCCGGGAAUCGUACUACGUUUUUGUAGAAGGAGUGGUCAUUCUUGGACAAAUCCCAACCUUUAUCAAGGCUAUGCUCUACUGGUUUGCAGUACAUUAUGUGCUAAACAUGCAGUAUGCAAAACCGAUAAACAAAGUAUGUCUUUUUAUUCAUGAAUAUGAACACCAAAAAAACAUCAACGUACCUGGCAGCUUGUACGGACAUACUUAAGCACGUCCAGUAGCUAUAGUUUCUGACUUGAACUUAUACUUGUAAAUUUGUCUCUGGUGUAUGCAUUAUAUUGUAGUCUGUGGAUUGGUUCGUGAAUCAUGAUCAUUGAUCAUUGCUCUUGUGACAAUUAUACGUAUACAAUGUAGUGCUUUAGGUACUAAAAAUUAUAGCAUAA